CAAAUACUCCCUCCGUCAAAAAAUACUUGUUAGAGAAAUGGAUAAAAAUAGAUGUAUCUAGAACUAAAAUAUGUCUAGAUAUAUCCAUUCCUUCAACAACUAUUUUCGGAAGGAGUGAGUACUAU
rfam:Hordeum vulgare subsp. vulgare, WGS project CAJW01000000 data, contig: morex_contig_156580